ACUGCAGUGGGGAUUCACCUAAAUGCAUGGUGACCAUGAAGUGUCCUUGCAUUGGCGUUGGCUUUUUAACACGUUUAUUUAUUUUUUCUAAGAGUAAAAUUCCCACCUAAAAUUGAUGUUUGCCCGGCUAUCCCGACUUCAUCGACACUUCCGCCCUGUUGAGAUGUUCUCUAGGCUGCGUCAUGCUUGGGCUCCCUCCAUGCGGUAGACUUUGAAACUAACGCACCUCUCGGUACCCAACGAAAGGCCGUGAAACUUGGGACCGGGGCAGGCCCCUCAACAUUUUUGAAAGAUAGGGCUUGUUUUAGCGCAUACAU
rnacentral:sRNA from 1 species